AGGUUGAGAACUGGAGGAGGAAAGCGAUGGAGACCUGCUCAUCAAGUAACCAACUCCUGGCUGCAGAGGAUCAGCGGAGUACUGCUGCCAAUAUUCUAAGACUUAUACAUGACCCGCUGACCAGCCACAUGGAGAUGGUAACUGAGAUUGUUGUCCCGACUGUCUGCACGCUCUCCAUUUUACUCAGUGCCAUCUUCCUCAUGUUCCUGCUCCAGAGGCGCAACUAAAUGGUGCACACAGUCACAACCCCGCAAUACACAACCACUCGCACAAGAAGUGAAUCAGAUAUUUAAUGGAUUGUGUGUUCACAUAAAUACAUUCUUUUUGGUUGAAUUUCAAUUUGAUGUGGAAAAAGUGUUCGCCAUAACAAAGAAAGCUGAACAUUUUUUGAAUCUUGCCCAUUAAAACAUUGCUGUGAAAUAUCGCGCCCACCCCACUGUCUUGUUUUUGCUUCAAGGUUGUGGAAGUUGCCAGGGAACAAAAUUCUUCCUGUGAGGUUUGUGGCGCUAAGUUACCUGACAAAAAA